rnacentral:pre_miRNA from 1 species
UGCAGCCAGCAGUGGGACCUAAGGUUCUAGAAUGGCCUAGAUCCCCAUCUGGCUCUGUU